CAAAAUUUUCCUUGUAUUAUGUUAUGUUUGAUUAGUAUAAACUGGCAUACAUGUGCAUUGCACGUGCCCAUGUACUAGUAAUAAUAAUAAUAAUAAUAAAGCAUGCAGUGCUUCUCGGGUCGUUGUCACUUUUGCAGAAAAGUCCCUCCACUUCUGAGUAUUCAACCCGCAGUCCGGAUUUAAGUAAGAAAACGAAUCGUUUUUUAUAAUUUUACGAAAAACCCACUGUGCUUUCCCGAAACCAACCCGCGGUCAGGAUUUCGGGGUGGAUCCACGCCGUCGCCGCUCGCCCGCAGCCUCCCGAGGAGAACAGUCCCGUGCCCCAGGAGAGGGGCUCGAGCCACCCCCGCGCCAUUGUCGCCUGUGACCGCCGCCUUCGCCCCGCGCUGCCCUAGGCUCGCCUGCCGAACCUCCUGCACCCUCCGGAGCCACAGCCACCGAAGCGUCCACCGGUUCCCUCGCCCGCCGGAUUUUCCGAGCUGCCGCCGCCCGAUCUCCUCAAUCUCCGGCGUCGCCCCAAUCCUCCUCCGCCGGAGCAGAUGCUCCGUCGCCACCCUUCGGCCAGAUCUGGUAAGCCUCGGUCUGGUCGCGCCUCGCCUCCAGCCACCCGACGAGAUGGCCGCCUCGCUCGCCUCUGCCUUGCCCGAUCUGAUCGGGAGGGAUUUAGCACUCACGGUCGUCCGCCAUGUGUCACUAUACUUGUAGCUAACCUCUUGAGCUUAUUAGUAAACGGAACUUUUGCAGCAAUUACUUAUACUAUUGCCUGCAGUUAACUUAUCUAUCUGAUAUAUCCUCUUCUUGCUAGGGCGGCCAAAGAGAACAUCAAACAGUUGUCCUUGUAGGGUAAGGUAUAAAUAUUUUUCAGGAACCAUAUGAUCUGUUGCUGGAGCUGUCCAUUUCUGUUCUUAGUGAAGCAGAACAGUCUUCAGAGCAGCAAUAACCUUUUCAAACCUGGAUAAGGUUUGAGAACCAUACAGGUGUCCAUUCUCAAAUACUACAUGGCAUCUUUAUGGUUCUCAAAUCUUAUCCAGACAUUUGAAACAAAAUGCAUGCCUCUGCUGUACCAGAUACAGUCACAGGAGAUGAUAUAGAUACAGUUACUGCAGGAUGGCUCACAAAGUUGUUCUGUUUUUCUUCUCCUCAUUUGAUAUGUGCGGAUGGACCUGUCUAACAGUAGAAGUCAAUGACUGGUUAGAAAGCCUACAGAUCUCAGACAGUGCUAAUUGGGUACUGCAUUAUUGAACUGAUCCUGUUGCCACAUGCCUCAAAUGAAAGGCACAAGCACUUUGGCAAAAGUCUACUAUACUUUUGUAGCAACUGCUGCUCAACGCUGUUGAUUCCAGUGGUCUUCUUAUGACCACCUCUGCGAUCAACAUCUCCUGCAUCUUUAGUUUCCUUAUCUGAUCAUAAUAGAUCAGUCAUGAAAGCCAAACAGCAUGCUAAUCUGCAAUUGUGUGCAAAGUUCAACGAGUCGGCCAGCUGGUCAAUUGUGUCACUGUAGAGGUCAUCCAUUUCUACUGCUCACACGAUGUUGUAGCAUAAGAUGAUUAUGUGUGCAAGAUUAGGCUUCUUCUUAAGAAUUUCAGGUCAUGGACUAAUAGGUGAAUGAGUUGGUACCUGGAACUCAAACUGUUAGGUGACUUUCUUGGCUCAAUUUUCUUGUGCAGACACUUCUUGUGAUUAUGUGGCAAGUGGAGAUGCAAUUGGCGGCGGAGGAACAUUUUAAUGCAGAAAAAGAAGAUUUUAGGAGCCAGCUGAAUUAGCUGGGUGGGAGGAUGAGCAGAUUGAGUUCAUAAGAGAGAAGGUAUCCGAGGAGGGCAAACAAGACGAUUUGAAGAAAGCAAAAAACUCGAGAGCAGCAUACCAGUCAAGAAACUAAGGAAGAAGAUCUGCCUCAAGGUGCAUUGGGUCGGCCAUGAAUCUGUGUUAGUAAUCACUUCCGCAAAGGGCGGCGACGAACGGUGCCCUAUCCGUCCCGCCACCCGGCGUACGACUUCGUGCCCGUCCCCGACGGCUUGCCCGCGGGCACCCCGGAGACGGUGACGGCCACCAUGGAGCACAUCUUCGCCGUCAACAGCUCCUGCGAGGCGCCUGACCGCCCUGUUGGAGGCUCCUGGCGCCAGGGACCAGGUCGCGUGCCUGGUCGCCGACGCGCACCUGCUGGCCCUCGUGCGCGUGGCGGGGCUGAGUCGCAGCUGGACGCGCCGGUGAGGGAGCUACCGCCAUGCCGCGUCCGGGACCUGAUGGGCGCCAACAGCAGCAGCCGUCACGAGCACGAGCUAAUGUGCAAGCUGUUGUCCCGGGCGGUCGAGGCGAUGCGAAGCUCUGCAGGAUUCGUCUUGAACCCCUUCGACGCGCUGGAGGCCGACGACCUGACGGCCACCCGGCGCGACCUCGCCGGCGUGCCCGUGUUCGCCGUCGGUCCGCUCCACAAGCGCUCCCCGACGUCGUCCAGCAGCCUCCAGCAGGACCGCUCCUGCCUCGACUGGCUGGACGCGCAGGCCCCGACAUCCGUGCUCUACAUCAGGUUCAGCAGCGUGGCGAGCAUGAGCAGUGCCAACCUGGACCCAUGUUAUGCAACUUUGUGGUGUUGACAAGUAUGCAGCUGAUGCUUAUGCAAUAUUUUGUGCGGGUAGGGCGAGGGAGAUGGUACCUGAUGAUCACAAGUUAGUUGAUUACUCGAAUUAUGUUUGCUUUCAGUUGCCCAUAGCACAUGUAGUAUUCUCGACACAUAAAUUUUAACAAAUUGCUAUGAGCUUUGUAGUUUCAUGGCUUUGUGAGAUGCUAAUCAUGAGCUGAAAAUGCUCAUGAGCUUCUCCAUACACGUACUAGCACAACGACUUUGGGUACUGUAAUUUUUGCAACACCUGGAACCCAGCUUCCAUUGCAGUGCCACUCAGUAAGUCAUACCGGUUGGAUUUCUUUUUCUUACCGAGCGUAGCCGGCUCUUCCCUUGAAUCGAACUCUCACACGAAGAGUCUGCCCUCCGCCCCUCCUCAUGAAGGCCCAUUCCCACUCGGCGGUAGCUCCCUCCCUAUCAUGCCAUGCUUCGGUUAUGUCUUUUUUGUCUUUAACUUUCUUUUGACAACUUUUUUUUUUGAAUUGAUGACCAAAGCUCCCGAUUUCAUUCCAUUCAACAGAUCCCUCGGUAACAAAAGGUUAGCGGAAACUAACAUACAUAAACCGGUGCCCAACGGUUACCCCCAUAUGAUUGAGAUUCAGAUGGAUUUGUUCAGUUCCAGUACAUGAUUAGUGAAGUGCAAGGGGAAACAGAUGUGGGUGACGCCAUGCAGUCCUAGAUGGGAUAAUUUUACAUUCCAACUAGGGUUGGUUUUGUGUGGUUCAUGUACCUUGGAUACUUUUCUCCCUUAGAUUAGUGUGAAGCUUGAGAUGAUAUUACCUCACAAGCACUCUUGAUGGAUGCAACGAGUUAUGUUUGCAGUUGUCGUUCAUUUUUUUGUUUUGGUAUAUAUACUCGUUGCCAUCUGUUUAAAGGUUUUUUUUUGAACUUGGAACACUGUGGUUCCUUUGUUCUUGAAUGUACCUAUUUAUAUUUUUCCUUUUAGUCAAACUGUUAUAGGCACGUCUAUAGAAACAAUACUUGCUGUAAUGUUUGUCAAAGUCGAACAGAAGCAAAAUAUGUU